UGAGUACGAGAUGCUACGGCAUCGAAGCAGUCUAUGUCAUACUUCCAAGAAAAGCUUGCACUGUCAGAAACAGAUAAUGCCUGUACCAUAACCGACACAGGUGGGUAGGUAGAGUAUACUAAGGGGCGCGAGAUAACUCUCUCUAAGGAACUCGGCAAAAUGACUCCGUAACCUCGGGAGAAGGAGUGCCUUAUUUUUAAGGUUGCAAUAACAAGAUCCAAGCAACUGUUUACCAAAAACACAGGUCUCCGCUAAGUCGUAAGACGAUGUACGGGGGCUGACGCCUGCCCAGUGCCAGAAGGUUAAAGAAGUCGGUUAGCAUUCGCGAAGCUGGUAACUGAAGCCCUGGUGAACGGCGGCCGUAACAAUAACGGUCCUAAGGUAGCGAAAUUCCUUGUCGGGUAAGUUCCGACCCGCACGAAAGGCGUAAUGAUUUGGAUACUGUCUCGGAGAGGGGCUCGGUGAAAUAGACUUGUCUGUGAAGAUGCGGACUACCUGCACCUGGACAGAAAGACCCUAUGAAGCUUUACUGUAACUUGAAAUUGAAAUUGGACUUUAUUUGCGCAGUAUAGGUGGGAGGCGUUGAAAAUAUUCUUGCGGGAAUAUUGGAGCCAUCAGUGAGAUACCACUCUUGUAAUGUUAGAUUUCUAACUUUAUAUCAUUAUCUGGUUAAAGAACAGUUUCAGGCGGGCAGUUUGACUGGGGCGGUCGCCUCCCAAAUGGUAACGCAGGCGCACAAAGGUUUCCUCUGAACGGGUAGAAAUCGUAUCUAGAGUGUAAAGGCAUAAGGAAGCUUGACUGUGAGACCUACAAGUCGAGCAGGGACGAAAGUCGGUCUUAGUGAUCUGACGGUGCUGAGUGGAAAGGCCGUCACUCAACGGAUAAAAGUUACUCUAAGGAUAACAGGCUGAUCUCCCCCAAGAGUUCACAUCGACGGGGAUGUUUGGCACCUCGAUGUCGGCUCAUCGCAUCCUGGGGCGGUAGUACGUCCCAAGGGUUGGGCUGUUCGCCCAUGAAAGCGGUACGCGAGCUGGGUUCAGAACGUCGUGAGACAGUUCGGUCCAUAUCCGGUGUAGGCGUUAGAAUAUUGAGAGGAGCCUUCUUUAGUACGAGAGGACCGAGAAGGACAUACCUCUGGUGUACCAGUUAUCGUGCCAACGGUAAACGCUGGGUAGCUAUGUAUGGAGUGGAUAACCGCUGAAAGCAUCUAAGUGGGAAGCCCACCUCAAGAUAAG
rnacentral:rRNA from 1 species